rnacentral:rRNA from 1 species
AUUGAACGCUGGCGGCAGGCCUAACACAUGCAAGUCGAGCGAGCGGCGGACGGGUGAGUAAUGUCUGGGAAACUGCCUGAUGGAGGGGGAUAACUACUGGAAACGGUAGCUAAUACCGCAUACCAUCAGAUGUGCCCAGAUGGGAUUAGCUAGUAGGUGGGGUAAUGGCUCACCUAGGCGACGAUCCCUAGCUGGUCUGAGAGGAUGACCAGCCACACUGGAACUGAGACACGGUCCAGACUCCUACGGGAGGCAGCAGUGGGGAAUAUUGCACAAUGGGCGCAAGCCUGAUACAGCCAUGCCGCGUGUAUGAAGAAGGCCUUCGGGUUGUAAAGCACUUUCAGCGGGGAGGCGUUACUAACAGAAUAAGCACCGGCUAACUCCGUGCCAGCAGCCGCGGUAAUUC